rnacentral:rRNA from 1 species
UACGUAGGGUGCGAGCGUUGUCCGGAAUUACUGGGCGUAAAGCGUGCGCAGGCGGUUAUGUAAGACAGAUGUGAAAUGCCCGGGCUUAACCUGGGAACUGCAUUUGUGACUGCAUGGCUAGAGUUUGGCAGAGGGGGGUAGAAUUCCACGUGUAGCAGUGAAAUGCGUAGAUAUGUGGAGGAACACCGAUGGCGAAGGCAGCCCCCUGGGUCAAGACUGACGCUCAUGCACGAAAGCGUGGGGAGCAAACAGG